rnacentral:tRNA from 1 species
CGGGAUGUAGUGUAAUGGUAGCACGAGUCCUUCGGGAGGAUUUAGUCCGGGUUCGAAUCCCGGCAUCCCGACCA